ACUACGGGCGGCAGCAGUGAGGAAUAUUGGUCAAUGGGCGCGAGCCUGAACCAGCCAAGUAGCGUGAAGGAUGCCUGCCCUACGGGUUGUAGACUUCUUUUAUAAAGGAAUAAAGUGAGGCACGUGUGCCUUUUUGUAUGUACUUUAUGAAUAAGGAUCGGCUAACUCCGUACCAGCAGCCGCGGUAAUACGGAGGAUACGAGCGUUAUCAGGAUUUAUUGGGUUUAAAGGGAGCGUAGAUGGGUGGUUAAGUCAGUUGUGAAAGUUGGAGGCUCAACCGUAAAAUUGCAAUUGAUACUGGCAGCCUUGAGUACAGUUGAGGUAGGCGGAAUUCGUGGUGUAGCGGUGAAAUGCUUAGAUAUCACGAAGAACUCCGAUUGCGAAGGCAGCUUACUAAACUGCCACUGACAUUGAUGCUCGAAAGUGUGGGUAUCAAACAGGAUUAGAUACCCCAGUAGUC
rnacentral:rRNA from 1 species